rnacentral:rRNA from 1 species
GACGAACGCUGGCGGCGCGCCUAACACAUGCAAGUCGAACGAGCGAGAGAGAGCUUGCUUUCUCGAGCGAGUGGCGAACGGGUGAGUAACGCGUGAGGAACCUGCCUCAAAGAGGGGGACAACAGUUGGAAACGACUGCUAAUACCGCAUAAGCCCACAGGUCGGCAUCGACCAGAGGGAAAAGGAGCAAUCCGCUUUGAGAUGGCCUCGCGUCCGAUUAGCUAGUUGGUGAGGUAAUGGCCCACCAAGGCGACGAUCGGUAGCCGGACUGAGAGGUUGAACGGCCACAUUGGGACUGAGACACGGCCCAGACUCCUACGGGAGGCAGCAGUGGGGAAUAUUGCACAAUGGGGGAAACCCUGAUGCAGCGACGCCGCGUGGAGGAAGAAGGUCUUCGGAUUGUAAACUCCUGUUGUUGAGGAAGAUAAUGACGGU